AACAAGGCGUACCUGCGGACCUGCGGAGGGAUCAUUAAUAAAUGUUACUUCGGUAACUUAAUUAAUCCCUAACACCUGUGCAUCUUGUCGCUCCGGCGUCAUUUUAUAAACAUCAGUGUAAUGAAUGUAAAGUAUUAUAACAAAUACAACUUUUAACAAUGGAUCU
rnacentral:misc_RNA from 1 species